AACUUUUGGCAAUGGAUCACUUGGUUCUGGCAUCGAUGAAGAACGCAGCGAAAUGCGAUAAGUAAUGCGAAUUGCAGAAUUCAGUAAGUCAUCGAAUCUUUGAACGCACAUUGCGCCCUGUGGUAUUCCGCAGGGCAUGCCUGUUCGAGCGUCAGUGCAACCUUCAAGCUCAGCUUGGUUUUGAGCCAUGCCAGUAAAAUGGCCGGCUUUAAAGUUAUUGGCGGUGACAUUAGGCUCUUAGCGCAGUAAUACUUCUCGCUAUUGGGUUCUAGUGGGUGCUUGCCAACAACCCCAACUUUCCAAGUUUGACCUCGGAUCAGGUAGGGAUACCCGCUGAACUUAAGCAUAUCAAUAAGCGGAGGCU
rnacentral:misc_RNA from 1 species